rnacentral:rRNA from 1 species
ACGCUCGACACCUACAGGCAGCAGUGGGGAAUAUUGCACAAUGGGGGAAACCCUGAUGCAGCGACGCCGCGUGGAGGAAGAAGGUCUUCGGAUUGUAAACUCCUGUUGUUGGGGAAAAAGAGGAUGGUACCCAACAAGGAAGUGACGGCUAACUACGUGCCAGCAGCCGACGGUAAUCUGAGCGGGCUGGCAAGGC